ACAAAUAACAGUGGGCUGCAACUUUUCAUUUUAUUAUUCAACCAUUUUUUUCUUGCUUAUAAAUUGUAUAUCUGUGCAUGCAAAUCUUCAAUUCAUUGCCUCAAAUCUUGAAAAAAAAAUUAUAUUCAGCCAGAAAAUCAAAUAUUCAGUCAAUGGCUUCUCUAGUUCUUAUAUUAUCUGAGCUUCUUAGACAUGAAAAUACAGAUUAUUUGGCCUCAUUCUCAGCUUCUUCUUCAAGUUCAUCUGUCAAUUCUUGUACUAUUAUGGCUUCAAAAGGAAUUCAAUCAAUUUCCAGGGGUUUAACAAGUUUUAACAAUAACUUUGACAAGGAAGAGGAAUUUGAAGAACUUCCAAGGAUGUGUGUGGAUAUGGUUUGGCCUUAGAAUAUUUUUUUUCUUUUGUAAUUUGUGUCGUUAAACUAUGUAAUACAACAAGUUUCUUGUUAGGAAAUAAAACCCAAAUUUUUGUGCUCGUUCUUUCUUUUA
rnacentral:lncRNA from 1 species